CCCUGUUUUAUCAUUUUUUUUUAUGAAACCUCUUAAAUUGAAGUGAAUAAUUAAAUGUUGAUGCAUGUCUCAGAUCAAGUAUGGUUUGAGGGUCAUAUUUAGAAUAAUGAUACUGAGAGAGAGGGGACGCAGGGUUUACGGAUAGUGAAUAAUGCCAUUGAAUGGAAGUGAGUUUAAAUGCCUAGAACAAUGAAGGUAAACUGUAUGCCGCAAAGAUAUCAACUCUUCAUCUUGAAAACAUAAUGUGUUUCUUAAUAAACCGGGUUUUCCAGCGUCAAGAUCAGUUCAAAGGCGCUCAAUAGAAAGGCUUCCGAAAUCAGACGUGGAAGGAGUUGAAAGGGCUCGAGAGACCUCUCUCUCACAUUUCCAAUGUUCCUUUGCCAAUCUUUCCUUUGGAAAUCAGGUAAUCGGAAAAGAUUCUUUAUUCGGGAACCUGGGAAAGAUUGAUUUGCUAGUUCUUCUUCCCUGGCUUUCUUUUCAACCAGAUCCUUUCUUCUUCCAAUUCAGUUUUGUACUGGCAAUUGACCGGAAAAGGGAAAUCUUUCUUUUCGCCCCAACAAUCAAUUCUGAACGUACCAACAGGAACAGGGGAAAUAUGCUGUUUUUUCGACUUCGGAACCUGCUGCGUACCUUUACCAUUUCUUUUUCGAACCGAACUCAAGCCCCAGAACAGUGGAAAGAUUCAACCUCGCCUCAAAGCGGGGAGAACCAGAAUGGAACUCAAGACGGUUUAGUAUGGAUCGAAGUUGUCUUACUUAUUUAACAUAGAAAGGUCCCCUUGUCUCUUUGUUUGGGAGUUCAUUUCUCUACUGGCAAUUGACCUUAGAAGCUAAAUCUCCGUUUUUUCAACUGCAUGUUUGUAUCCCAAAUGCAUUUACGCAGGAGCAGAAAGACUCUAAUUGCUUUAGCGCGAGGUAGCUUUAUCGGCACUCAUUCGUAACUCAUUGGAUCUAAUCUAUGUUUCUCCUCCAGAGCAGAGAUUGAACACAAACCAGAUUCAGAGAAUUGCUUUAUGUGUAGUGUAAUCUCCCGAAUUCGACACCAUAAUUCUUAGACUUAUGCCUUAGCGGUAGGAGCCGCUGUAGGGCAAGCAAACCUUUCUACGGGUUUCGAUACCAGCGCUACGCCCGGAAAUUAAUGCUAGAAGGAGUCGCUACAAUUGCGGCCCGCUUUCGAGUCACCCGGUUCCGAAUCUGCUUUCGUCAUUCACUCUUCCCAUAAACAUGCCCUAUCAGAAUCCUUAUUUGACCAAUGCAGCGAAACUUUCGAGUACCGAGCUGUCCCUUCCUUAGGUCCCAGAAUCUCUUCUCUUACUUACGAGCCUGGAGCUAAUCCAACCAUUUACUCUAAAUAAAGUUGCUCGAAACCAGCUAGAUCUCUUUCUGCUUUUAGUACCCCAUUGGGAAAGAGCUAGCCCACUGCGUCCGAUGAAGCAUUUUCUUCUUACCCCAAACAAUGUAUUAUAUAUGAAUAAAGACCCGAAGGUAUGAUAUGGAUCAGUCUCCGGUAGGAGUCUUAGACGGACGAGGCAAAGUGAGAAGUAGAGGUAGCUUCCGAAUCUCUUGGGCUUAGCCAUCUUUCCCUAGUCUCAUUAAGGGGCGUAGCGGUGGUCUAUAUCGCUUACAGGAUCAGACCCUUCGUCGCAAAGACCGGAUUUGUCCACUUAUACUAUUGAUCGAAUUAACUAUUCCGCAAGUCCCACAGCUUAUUCUCGAACAUCUGUGCCAAGCUUAGUAAAGCCGGUAAUUCCUUCAAAGAUCCAAGCAGGGGAUUCAUUGGCAUCUUCUUCUCGCGGUUCCCUAUUUGAGACAGUUGAAGAGGCCUUUGCACGACAGUCUACUUAUGGCAUCGGAACCGCUAAUGCCGCAUCUCUCGACGAUAAGGAAUCCAGGAAAGAAGAGUUCAUAUUCCCAGGUACCUCACCACUUCUACUAGUCCGGCCUACAAGACCGCUUAUGGUUAUGCCGAAU
rnacentral:misc_RNA from 1 species